rnacentral:tRNA from 1 species
GCUCCCAUGGCGUAGUGGUCACUGCGCUCGCCUUGCACGCGGGAGAUCUGGGUUCGAUUCCUGGCGGGGUCA